UACAGGGGGUGCAAACGUUGCUCGGAAUUAUUGGGCGUAAAGAGCUCGUAGGCGGUUUGUCGCGUCUGCUGUGAAAACCUAAGGCUCAACCUUGGGCUUGCAGUGGGUACGGGCAGACUAGAGUGCGGUAGGGGUGACUGGAAUUCCUGGUGUAGCGGUGGAAUGCGCAGAUAUCAGGAGGAACACCGAUGGCGAAGGCAGGUCACUGGGCCGCAACUGACGCUGAGGAGCGAAAGCAUGGGGAGCGAACAGG
rnacentral:rRNA from 1 species